AUAUUCUUAGGCCCGGUCUUGAGGCAGGAACUGAGUAGUUGGUGAACUCGCUCUAUGUUGUUCGUUCACUCGCGACACAGUUCCUGUCCCAAGGCUAAGUCUGUGAAUAU
rfam:Oryza sativa Japonica Group DNA, chromosome 8, cultivar: Nipponbare, complete sequence.